UCUUGGAGAAUGAAAGUAGUCCCGGGUACUCAGGAGGCUGAGGCAGGAGGACUGCUUGAGUUCAGGAGUUCUGAGCUAUACUGCACUAUUCUGAUAGGGUGUCUGCACUAAGUUUGGCAUCAAUAUGGUGAUCUCCUGGGAGCGAGGGGCCGCCAGUUUGCCUAAGGAGGGGUGAAUCAGCCCAAGUCAGAAAUGGAGCAGGUCAAAACUCCUGUGAUGAUCAAUACUGAGAUAGCACCUGUAAAUAGCCACUGCAUUUGAGCCUGGGCAACAUAGUAAGACCCUGGUG
rnacentral:SRP_RNA from 10 species